rnacentral:sRNA from 1 species
AUUUCGCGUUAGGGAUUGCAACGGCAUCCUUUUGCUUUUUUGCAAAAGAUAUAGUGUAAAGCGCGACCUUUA